GUACUCGCUACGGCGGAACAUAUACUAAAAUUGGAACGAUACAGAAAAGAUCAGCAUGGGCUCUGCUCAAGGAUGGCACGCAAAAUCUUGAAACCUUCCCAAUUUUU